GUCGACAUAGUUUUAACUAAAACACCAGAUUGUGAUUCUGGAGUCGGGGGUUAGAGUCCCCCUGUCCACC
rnacentral:tRNA from 1 species